CAAAUCCACCGCCAAAUACCAUGGGCUGACUGUGCGUACUUAAUCCACUCAAGCUAUCUCUACGGUGUCUCAAACCCCAAUUGGUGUUUUUUUUUAUCCGGGAAAUAUGUAUAGAGAGAGAGCGGAAGAUAAGAACAAAAAGGGAAAAGACAUAGAAACAAAUAUGAAAAUUAAAAAUAUACAAAACGGAAAAUAAAAUUUACAACAAUAAAUACAUACAUCAUAAAUUACAAAGUACUAAACUGCAAUUACUUACAACUACAAAAUACAAGUUACAAAUACAUUGGAGAAGGAAAAAAGGCGGAAGAGAAGUGGGCGUAAAUAAAAAACUAUAUUUUUAUACCGACUGACAAAUAAAAAAAAGCUGCACUUAAUAUUUAAUGCCAAGUAAA